UGCGGAUGUGGCGGAAUUGGCAGACGCGCUGGAUUUAGGUUCCAGUGGAGUAAUCCGUGCAGGUUCGAUUCCUGUCAUCCGUAUC
rnacentral:tRNA from 1 species